rnacentral:rRNA from 1 species
CGGGGUGAGUAACGCGUGGGUAACCUGCCUUGUACUGGGGGACAACAGUUGGAAACGACUGCUAAUACCGCAUAAGCGCACAGCUUCGCAUGAAGCAGUGUGAAAAACUCCGGUGGUACAAGAUGGACCCGCGUCUGAUUAGCUGGUUGGUGAGGUAACGGCCCACCGAGGCGACGAUCAGUAGCCGGCCUGAGAGGGUGAACGGCCACAUUGGGACUGAGACACGGCCCAA